AUGAGGAGCAGAAGUUCCCUAGAGUGAUAAGAGAUAGGUGUUGCAGCAGCAACUGCUGCUCUUUCUAUGCGCCUAAGUGUAGGGGUAGCAGCAUCAGUGGCAGCCAAUGUACUGGCACGCCCUGAAUUGGUCACAAUCGCAAUUAGUUCAAUUGCCACCNNNNNNNNGCCUUGGUCAGUUCCAGGUGUAUGGCUACCCGAAUCUCGAAUUAGCUCUGACAACUUUUUUCCAACCUGAAGUUUAGUCAAUAUGUGAGCAAUUGUAUCAUCUCUGGCUAGACCAAGCAGCACUCGGCAUGCAAGAGCA
rnacentral:misc_RNA from 1 species